UAACUACGAUCCCAUCCCACAAUCCUAACCGUAGCUACUCGAAUUUGUCAUCUAAGAGCACAAUGAUGGUGAUGACGCUGUUGGGAUUCUGGCGACUCCAAACGAGUGACGCUCUUUUGAACCUCAACAAUCUUGUUGACACAUUUUGAUCCGAGAUCUCAACUGGCGUCCACCUCAUGUAUUUUUGUCUCUUUCAUUUGAUGAAGAUCUUGGGAUGUCUGAGAA